UUCUUUUUAUUACCUUUUCCCAGGUUUGAGUCAGAUAUGCUAUUAGAGAUUAUUAGUGCAACUACUGGGGUUGAAGGAUUUGCUAGCAAAGCCCGAGGAUGACAAAGAUGAACUAGAAAUCAAUUUCCAAUCGAAGAAUGGAUACAUGGAAACUAUAGGCUGGACGUUGUGGAUCAGCUACAGGAGAACCCCGGUGUGGUAUUGCGUCGCAUAUUAAUUCCUUUGAAGCAGAAGCACAAAGAGUGGGUGAUAUGUAUGAAGACGGUGCAGAAGUGCUCGACUGCAAAAGAUUACAUAUGCAGUAAGGUUAGAAGGAACAAAUGGAAACAUCUACAGGUAACUGGCCUUUUACUGAAGUCUACUAAUUGUCUUGUUCAACAUCUGCUUAGCUUUUGUAAUCUGGUUUUGGUAAAUCCUCCUGUUUCUGGUAGUCUUUUUAACUUCUGCUGACGAGAGAAGUCAGGUCAUUCAAAUAAUACUUCCAUCUAGCCACAAAUUUUUAAGUAAA